rnacentral:rRNA from 1 species
AACGAACGCUGGCGGCAUGCCUAACACAUGCAAGUCGAACGAGACCUUCGGGUCUAGUGGCGCACGGGUGCGUAACGCGUGGGAACCUGCCCUUAGGUUCGGAAUAACUCCCCGAAAGGGGUUCUAAUACCGGAUAAUGUCUUCGGACCAAAGAUUUAUCGCCUUUGGAUGGGCCCGCGUUGGAUUAGCUAGUUGGUAGGGUAAAAGCCUACCAAGGCGACGAUCCAUAGCUGGUCUGAGAGGAUGAUCAGCCACACUGGGACUGAGACACGGCCCAGACUCCUACGGGAGGCAGCAGUGGGGAAUAUUGGACAAUGGGCGAAAGCCUGAUCCAGCAAUGCCGCGUGAGUGAUGAAGGCCUUAGGGUUGUAAAGCUCUUUUACCCGGGAUGAUAAUGACAGUACCGGGAGAAUAAGCUCCGGCUAACUCCGU